rnacentral:rRNA from 1 species
AUUGAACGCUGGCGGCAUGCCUAACACAUGCAAGUCGAACGAGUGGCGGACGGGUGAGUAAUGUCUGGGAAACUGCCUGAUGGAGGGGGAUAACUACUGGAAACCGUAGCUAAUACCGCAUACCAUCAGAUGUGCCCAGAUGGGAUUAGCUGGUUGGUGGGUGAACGGCUCACCACGGCGAAGAUACCUCGCUGGUCUGAGAGGAUGACCAGCCACACUGGAACUGAGACACGGUCCAGACUCCUACGGGAGGCAGCAGUGGGAAAUAUUGCACAAUGGGCGCAAUCCUGAUGCAGCCAUGCCGCGUGGAUGAAGAAGGCCUUCGGGUGGUAAAGUACUUUCAGCGGGGAGGCGGUACCCGCAGAGGAAGCACCGGCUAACUCCGUGCCAGCCGCCGCGGUAAUAC